rnacentral:snRNA from 1 species
GCUUGCUUUAGCAACGUAUAUACUAAAAUUGGAAUGAUACAGGGAAGAUUAGCACAGCCCCUGAACAAGGAUGAUGUGCAAAUUUGUGAAGUGUUCCAUAUUUUU